rnacentral:misc_RNA from 1 species
GAUGAAGAACGCAGCGAAAUGCGAUAAGUAAUGUGAAUUGCAGAAUUCAGUGAAUCAUCGAAUCUUUGAACGCACAUUGUGCCCCUUGGUAUUCCGGGGGGCAUGCCUGUUCGAGCGUCAUUUCAACCCUCAAGCUCAGCUUGGUAUUGAGUCCAUGUCAGUAAUGGCAGGCUCUAAAAUCAGUGGCGGCGCCGCUGGGUCCUGAACGUAGUAAUAUCUCUCGUUACAGGUUCUCGGUGUGCUUCUGCCAAAACCCAAAUUUUCUAUGGUUGACCUCGGAUCAGGUAGGGAUACCCGCUGAACUUAAGCAUAUCAAUAAGCGGAGGA